UAAAAAGAAACUUAUGGAAUUUUUGUGACCAAUCAAAAAUGACAAUCAAUUUUGCAAAACAAAACAAUGGGUUUCGGAUUUUAAGAACCAAAAUUCUUUAUAAUGAAGAGGGUAUAUACAAGUUCACUUCAUUGAAUAAAAAGUAAGUCAAAUUGCAGUGAAGGAGGUGCAACAAUAAUGGAUUUAUUUUAUAGUCUGUCUUUUCAUUUUAGAUAUUGCCAAAAUGCAGGAAGCAAUUUCCUUUAAGUAAUUUGGAAAGCGUACCAAACAAGGCGCUGAUUUACUAGUAAGUUUUUUGUAUAUUAUAUUUCUCUUAACAAAAUAAUAUCAAUGUUUUUAACUACAGAUGCUGCCCAUUGUUUUUGUAUGUACUUCUCAAUGGCAAGAGCUGCCGCAGGCGUUGAUGGCGGAGGUGUCACCAUCAAAACCAUUAGAAACAACACCACCGAGUCAAUGGUGCAAGUGGAAGUUUUGCCAUGUAAUAGUCGACCGCUGACGCCCUUCUUCAUCAAUUGUGUGUAAAGAGUUUACUACCAGUCUGCAGUUCUGCAAGAGACGCAAGAAAAACAAGAAUACAAUCGCAGGAAUACUCAAAAAUUGUCCAACCUUGACUGUAAGAGAGUUCAAAUUUUAAAUCUACAACGAAUCCAUUUAUUUUGCUCCUAAGAAUCGCACUGGCUUAACGGUGGCAAUCAUUUGGAGGCAAAUGAGCUGGCCCGACAAGAAUCCCCAAGAAGCCAAACAAAUUCAGAUCAGUCUCUCGGCAGCUACUGACGAUGUCGGCGAAUGGAUUCCAUCGAUUUUCACACAGAAAAUCAACAUCA